GCAUUUUAAAAGAUGUUUACAUUUAAUCAGUACUUUACACAGUUAGACACCAUGAAAAAGUAGUCUUCACUUUAAAAUGAUUAUGAUGGUAUGCUAAGUGUUCCAUAGUGUAUCAUUAUUGAAAGUGAAUAAGCAC
rnacentral:snoRNA from 1 species